CCAACAGUGAUGACCACAACAUGCCAUCUGAGUUGCUUUGCUGAAAUCCAGAGGCUGUUUCUGAGCUG
rnacentral:snoRNA from 17 species